AGAAAAAAUAAGAAAAGUACAAAAAGAGAAGACUCUAGUGUUGCUUAGUCUUCGGAGCAACGCACAAGAAACAGUACCGACGUGUGCUUCAGAUUUACAAAGACCCCUCUUCCUUCUUCUUCAUCGGUUCCCUCUCCUACUCCAUUUCAACAAAUCCUUAAUCUCUGAUAUUACACACACACACACAAGGCGAAGAGACAGUCAGCGACUCUGAUCGCGUAAAGGCAGAGCCUUUUUUAUAUACCCAAAAGUUCGCCACUUCCUCUACCUGCGAUCUCUGAAUCUCUCUCUCCUUUUUCUGAGCAACAGAGUUCACAGGCCUGUCUUAUAUUACAUUGACGAUGGGUUGCUCCUGGUUCUCUUGUCACAAGAGUGGAGGAGAACCUUCAGAAGUUCAUAGAGAACUUUCAAUGACAGGCAAGGUAAAUAUUUACAAAUAUAAAGAGAUUCGUCAGGCCACCAAUGAUUUCGAUGCCCUGAAUAAAAUUGGAGAAGGAGGCUUUGGCUCUGUGUAC